UAUCAAAAUGUGUCAACUUGUGUUUGUAUUAGGUUUGUUUUUAAUUUAUUUAAAUUAUUAGUUUCUUCUCUUGUACCCUUCAGAUCCUUUACGUUUUAACAAUUUCUACAAUUGUGAGACUCUUUGUGAUAUCUAUCUAUAUGUGAAUGUUGUUGCUUUUACAAAAGCAGCGUCUUUGAAGGAAGUGUGAAAGGGCUUUUCUUCCACUGGAAACAAACUACCUGGUAACUGUUGCUUAAGACUAACGUCUUGAAUGACACCAUCUGAAAGCUAAGCAUUGACCUGUAACAAAAGCAUAUUGAAAUCUUUAUCAAUACUACUGGAAUAUCAACAAUUAGACUAGUGUGCAGUGUCUUCAUUACAUUGGAACAACUUGAAAUUUAUUUAGGAACAUUAAAACUUGACUCUGUCAUUGAAAAUUGACUGCAAGGAUUCUUUCAAUUCACACUGGAUGUUCCAAUACUUUUAUCCAUUGAAAACGGAAACAACAGAAGUAAAUAGAAUUUUCUCAGUAUUCGCUAUCAAGGUUGAGCAAGUAAAGACGGGCUGAUGCCAAAGAACCUCACUCACAUAUUUUUGAAUGCGUUGUGGAAACUAUUUCAAGGCGGUCGGUUUCUGUUUACGAAUUAAGCCGAAUAAUUAUAAUUGAGCGCACCUAUAAAACUUAUUAUCUAUGUAUCAUAAGUAUAGAAGAAGGAAUUUUCAUCUGUGGGUCUUCCUGCGAUCUCAUUCUGUCAUAGUCAAGUGUGUUCGAUCUUCGAGAAGACGACAUGUCGCCUGUUUUGUAGUCCAUAAACGAAGACAACGCCUGAAGGCUUACCAAGAAAUAAUACCCUUGGAUUAGAUAGACAAACUACUUACAGAUGUAAUAUUGUGGCAGUCAGAGUUAUAUUUCAAGAAAUGGUAAAGAGCUAGUCGAAAAAAUCAUGGGGCCCAAAUGUUAACAAUGGUUUCCAUUAAAUCCUAAUAUUGUGAACAUGGAAAGGGUAAAUCAAAAGGACUCGAAACGUGCGGAAGCAGAGCCCCACUCACGCUUCUAUCUCUUGUGCUUGAAAAGGGACCAUUUGUAGAAAGGGUUUUAACAAGGUAAAAAAAUUAGAAGGACUGGAAACCUGGAGGAGUGGAGUCCCAUUAAUGCUCCCUUCCCUUGGACAUGAAAGGUGCAAUUUUUAGAAAUACGUGCAGUCCAAUUGACACCGAUGUAUAUAAAGUUACACACGUGAUGUCUUCUACUAUGUGGCUCAUUUCAUCAUCAGUGGUAUUAUUUUCCCUUUCUCAAGCAUCUAUUGUUGGAGAAACUUCUCUGUUAUCAACGCUUAUGAAUAAAACGAAUACCAUAGAAGAAUAUAUUUGAGAUCGUCCAACAGAUGAGAGGAAAUUGAAGUUCAGAUUGAUCCUAUUGAAACAUUAAAUUA